rnacentral:tRNA from 1 species
GCCUCGGUAGCUUAGCCUGGAUGAGCGGCUGAUUUGUAAUCAGCAGGUCGAGGGUUCAAAUCCCUCCCGGGGCUCCA